rnacentral:rRNA from 1 species
GACGAACGCUGGCGGCGUGCUUAACACAUGCAAGUCGAGCGGAAAGGCCCUUCGGGGUACUCGAGCGGCGAACGGGUGAGUAACACGUGAGUAAUCUGCCCCUCACUCUGGGAUAGCCACCGGAAACGGUGAUUAAUACCGGAUACGACCAAUCCCUGCAUGGGGUGUUGGUGGAAACUUUUUUGGGUGGGGGAUGUGCUCGCGGCCUAUCAGCUUGUUGGUGGGGUAAUGGCCUACCAAGGCUUCGACGGGUAGCCGGCCUGAGAGGGAGACCGGCCACACUGGGACUGAGACACGGCCCAGACUCCUACGGGAGGCAGCAGUGGGGAAUAUUGGACAAUGGGCGGAAGCCUGAUCCAGCAACGCCGCGUGAGGGAUGACGGCCUUCGGGUUGUAAACCUCUUUCAGCACCGACGAAGCGCAAGUGACGGUAGGUGCAGAAGAAGGACCGGCCAACUACGUGCCAGCCGCCGCAGUAACAC